CGCCCGAAGCCGAUUAUCUAACCUUUUGGAAGAAGUCGUCGAAGGUGGAAUCAAUAACUGGGGUGAAGUCGUAACAAGGUAGCCGUAUCGGAAGGGGCGGCUGGAUCACCUCCUUUCUAAGGAGA
rnacentral:rRNA from 1 species